GCACCGACGGGACGGUUCACCGGAGCACCGCCGAGACGGAUCGCCGGAGCACCGCUGGAAACCUAACCGGCGAUGGGGGCACCGACGUCUGGGCAUACGGUGGGCGUGGGCCGUGCCCUGGGCAACCCCUGCUCGCUCAAUAUCACCUCCCCCCUAAAGAGCUAAAAAAACUUGGUCAAUGCGUUACCAUGUGACAUUCAUGUGUCUGAAACGGGGACACUUUUUUUACCCGACGCUCCCGUACCAACAGGGGCCCAACUUUAGCUUUGGUGCUCAAGGCUCCCGCUCAUCCAUGCACCAAGGUGCCGAUGGUGCUCGAGGCUCCCGCACAUCUAAGCACCAAGGUGCCGAUGGUGCUCGAGGCUCCCGCACGACCAAGGGCCUAGGUUGCCGACAGUGUCCGAGGCUCCCGCACAUCCUAGCACCGAGGUGCCGAUGGUGCCCGAGGCUCCCGCAUGACCAAGGGCCUAGGUUGCUGAUGGUGCCCGAGGCUCCCGCACAUCGAAGCACCGAGGUGCCGAUGGCGCCCGAGGCUCCUACAUGACCAAGGGCUUAGUUUGCCGAUGGUGUCCGGGGCUCCUGCACAUCCUAGCACCGAGGUACCGAUGGUGCCCGAGGCUCCUGUACGACCCAGGGCCUAUGCUACCGGAACGGUUCGCCGGAGCACCGACGGGAUGAUUCGCCGGAGCACCGCCGGGACGGAUCGCCGGAGCACCGCUGGGAACCUAACUGGCGGUGGGGGGCACCGACGUCCGGGCAUACGGUGGGCGUGGGCCGGGCCCUGGGCAACCCCUUCUCGCUCAAUAUCACUUUCCCCCUAAAGAGCUAAAAAAACUUGGUCAAUGCGCUACCAGGUGACAUUCUUUUUUUUUUGAAACAAAACGACCCCAAGGGUCAUCACAAUCUUAUUAAGAAACAUCACAAAUUACAGCAUUGUGGAUUUCCGGCGGAUAAUCCAUUUCGAACAAACAAUGUUUAGCCUCACUACACAUUUUUUUACAAAUUAAAUGAGCUACAGUGUUACAAGACCGUUCGGUCCAAAUUAAAUUGGCCGAUUUGAAAAAACUGAAAGCUGCUGUGCAAUCCUUUAUUCGUGCGCCUAUUGUGGUGACGUCAUGGGCUAAUUUAUUAAACUUGUUGACCUGCCCCACGUGAUCUGUCUCAAAGAUGACUUGAUCUUUUAAAUUCAAAUUACAAGCAACUUUUAUACUUUCUUCGAACGCCAUACACUCUGCUUCUUCCACCGACAUCUUGCCUUCUUUGAAACCCCCACCCCUCCUAAUACAAAGCCUUCUUCAUCUCGUAUAAUCGUCCCAUACCCGCAUCUAUUUUCACCUACAGUAGCAUCAAAGUUAACUUUGAGAAAAUUCUUUGGGGGUUUUUUCGACUUUUUCUCCUCUAUAUUCUGCGAUAAUAAUGGUUCUUUCAGCAGGUUACAAAUUCGAAAUUCCCUGUGUAGGUUACUGGCUCUUUCCCAUAUCUGUUUCGCCUUCUCUUCUUUUCCCCUGAAAAUAAAAUUAUUUCUGUUAUUCCAGCAGUUCCAAAGAAUUGUCAUCAGGUCGGCCAUAGCUCUCUUAUCCAGGACCCGCAUCAGUUCUUCCAACCAGUCAAUGCACCGAUCGUAAUUCUUAGAGAUAAAGCUCCUAGUCCAUCCGCCUAUCGAAAGAACAGCUCUUGAGGUCGGGCAGUCUUUUAAGGCAUGUAAUAGCGUUUCGGUUUCAGCUCCACAUCUUGGGCAUCCCUUGUCGAAUCCUUGUCUGAUGCUGGCGAUCUUACAGUUCGUCGGAAGUAUUUCAUGGCCCACUCUCCACGUAAAGAAACGAAUCUUCGGUAAGGUGUCUAGCUUCCAAAUAGCUUUCCAAAAAAACCUAUGAGGGCCAUAUCCUAUUUCCUUCAACAGUAACCAGGAAUAGGCAGACUUUGAGGUAAAAAAUCCAUGAGGGUUAUGAAACCAUAUCAUUCUAUCAGCUUGUCCAACAUCUCCAAUGGGAAUGUUACAUAUCUUGUCGCCCCAGUCCCGUCCGUAAACUUGCUCGACUCUGUUGGCGUCCCAACAUCUGCUGUCCCCAAGCCACAGAUCUUUCACCCUUUUUUCAUUUUGGUUUAAGGUGUAGGUUUUAAUGACGUCCCCAUUUAGACCUUCCAUACCCCAGUUAUCGGCCCAAAUAUUUAUCUUUUCACCAUUUUCGACCUGCCAACCAAAGCCUUCUUUUAGCAUUUCCGCAGCUUUUGCAAUGCUUGACCAGGUGAAGGAUGCUUUGUCAACCUUUUUAGCUUUAAAAAUAUUACCGUCAGGAAAAUAUUUUGAAGACAGGACUUUGAAACAGAGGGAAUCAGUGUUGUUUAUUAGUCUCCACACUUGACGCCCUAAGAGAGCCAUGUUGAAAAGUCGAACAUCACGAAUUCCAAGACCUCUCAUAGCCUUCGGUUUACAUAAGGUCUUCUACGGGAUCAUAGUCCAGUAUCUUCUUUUCUCCUUUCCCGCCCACCAAGCUCUGCUCAGCUUUGCCUGGAUGUCAUUAAUAAUGCCUUUGGGUGCCAAGAAAACCGACAUAGCAUACGUGGGAAUAGAUUAGAGCACCGCUUUGAUGAAGACUUCCUUUCCGCCAAAGGAGAGCAACCUUUUUGUCCAACUAUUUAUCCUGCAAGACAUCCUAUUAGUAAUCUCCUUGAAAGCCGCAGAUUUCUUCUUACCUACAGGAAUAGGGAGGCCAAGGUAAUUGUUUAGAUUCUCCACCACCGUCAUGCCAAGGAGGCCACUAAAGAAAGCUCUCUGAUCACGUGAUGUGUUUGGGCUAAAAAGUACCAUUGACUUUUCAAGAUUAAUCUCUUGGCCUAAAAUAUUGGAGAAGGUAUUGAGCAUAUUAACAAGACUCUCCACAUCACCCUUUUUAUUCCUGACAAACAAAAGUGCGUCAUCAGCAAAGAAUAGAUGAUUUAUUCUAGGACCAUCCCUACUUGCCCGAAUGCCCCUUAAAGAGUUAUUCUCCUGAGCAUGAAUAAGCAUUCUCGACAAAGCUUCCAUACAAAAUAAAAACAAAUAUGGAGAUAGGGGAUCCCCUUGGCGGAGACCCCUCUCAGGGAUGAAAGAAUCAGAUAAAAUAUUAUUGCAUUUAACCAUAUAUUUAACCGAGCGGACACAUUCCAUGAUUUUAGCAGUCCACUUUGCAUCGAAUCCUAUUUUCUUCAUAAUUGUUUCAAUAAAAUUCCACUCAACGCGGUCAUAGUAUCAUUAAGACUAGAAAUAUCCUUUUCCCCGUUAAGAGCGUCUAAGCAAGUCUGAAUGGUAUCCGUUCCCACUAUCUCCCAGUGGUGCUUGAAAAAAUUUCCCGAUAGCCCAUCAAUACCAGGGGCUUUGUUUGGGUUCAUUUGCUUGAUAGCUAGAAGAACUUCUUCCUCUGUAUAGGUCAUAUUGAGCCAUUCAUUUGUUUCCCUCGUCACGCACUCCUUCAUGUAUCCCAUCUCUUGGAUUUCAACAUUUUGGCCGUUAGCCCGGAACAGACUCACAAAAUAAUCUUUAGCCACCUUACAAAUGUCUUUACUAUUUGUCACCCAAUUUCCUUCCACAUCUUUGAUCCUCUCAAUAUUAUUCUUUUUCAGGCGACCAGUAGCUUUAGCAUGGAAAUACCUAGUAUUUUGAUCUCCCUCCCUAAGCCAUCUCGACCUAGACCUUUGAGCCCAAUAGCUUUCUUCCCUAGCAUAGAAAAAGUCAAGCCUUCUGCGAGCUUCCUUUAGCUUUUUCCCACUAUCCACUCUGCUGGCGGAAUCAAUGAUCGACUCAAUCUGUUUUUCCAAUUUCCGCAUUCCACUCUUCAUUUUCCCAAAUUUCUGACAUUGCCAGGGACCUAGAGCCGAACGCACCCUUUCCAACUUUUCCCCGUAUUCUGUAUCCUCUCUAUUCCAGGCUCUUUCAAUAACAUUUUUAGCUUCCUCAUCCCCAGCCCAACAGACAUCAAACUUGAAGCACAAUCUCUUGUCUUUCGGGUAGUCUUUCAGUUUCCUACCCCAUAAAUCUAAAAUAAUAGCGUCAUGAUCGGACUGGGUUUUUCGAACCACUUUAGUAGCUAUAAACGGGAAAUUUUCCACCACUUCCACCGAGGUGAGGAAUCUAUCAAGUCUUUCCUUUAUCAGGCUCCCCUCAUUUCUGUUGUUUACCCAUGUAAACCAUCCACUGUCAGGCUUAAUAUCCACCAAAGCCAUCUCAUCCAUGACUUCUUUGAACUCGUUCAUUUGGACCCUGACUCCCCUGCGACCUCCUUCUUUCUCAGCAUCAUUCAGUAUAGCAUUGAAAUCACCUCCUACCACCCACUCCUCCCUCACUGAUUCCCCAACCCUCCGUAAAAUAUCCCAAGAGCUUCUUCUAAAAUUUGGAUUCGCAUGCCCAUAGAAUCCCGUAACCCGAAUGGUUUUGUUGUCAUCCAGUCUAACCUUGGAGUCUAUAUGAUGUUUGGAGAAGUUUUGUAUAGACACAUUCAUCCCGUCCCUCCACAUCAACGCAAGCCCACCACUCCGACCCUCUGAAUUAACAGCUAAACCAUUCUGCAGCCUACAGUUAUUCUGAACCCUACGAAAAUCAUUGGCAGACAUUUUGGUUUCGCUAAGGAAUAUAACAUCAGGGUUGUUGACAGCGAUAAGUUGCUUUAGCUCCCUUAUUUUAGCAGAAUUCCCCAGACCAUGGCAAUUCCAACACAAGAAUUUCAUUGAGAAAGCUGUAUCCCAGCAAACCGACACCUUGAGAAGGGAGGAAACCAAGGAUUACAAGGGCACUACCUCCAAAAACACCUUAGCCGACCGACUCAAAGACCUUGACAAGACUUGAGGGAAAACCCGAUCCCCGCCACCGAAGAGGACGCAGUAACUCAACCCACAAGAUGCAAGAAAACAAGAACUACGAGAGGAGGAAGGAAACUGCACCCAGAGGCAAACCACAAUACACGAGAAAACCCCCCAAAAGAAACACCGCCCAACGUCCGACAGCCGAACCCCACCCCAGGUUUCAAGAACAGGGCAAGCCAACAAAAGACCCCCCACAACUCCCAGAAAAACAAAACCCCACAAAACCCAGAAAACCAACGAAACGAAAACCCAAAAGGGCACUAGAUCCCUUCCGACGACGAUGGUGGAACAGUCAGCAAAGCAGGGUCAAGAACGUUCAGGACCAAUCGUACAAGAACGACAUGCAUAAAUGUAAGAAAUAAAAGAAAUAAAAAAACCCUUAAACAUGCAAGAGCGACAAUGAUGGGACGUAGAAAGUCAAUAGGGAUAAAAUCUGGCCAGCGCGGUCCCACACAAAAUUUUUAUCGCGAAAACCCGAAUGACCAUGCAAAAACCCACGUAGCCAAAUCUUUUUUGCAUGCAAGCACCACGAGAACACAAGAAACAAAAUAAAACAAAUAGAAAACACCAAAAUCAACGCAAAAGUCUGCAAGACACGUCCAAUCUGACCAAAGCAAAACGCAGAACCUGUCGCAACAAUUCAGAAACUCCGUGCCGCACAAUCAAAAUCAAGCUGAUCAACAAUCAUGCCUAUCAAGAACCCUCUCUUUAUCAACAGGACAUUGACGAAACCCCCACAACAGACCACGAAUCACAAACGCCAGAAAAGAGAAACAAAAACAGCCAAAAAACACCGCUACGCAACACCAAAGACCUUCAACCUACCACUACUGCCAUUGAACGCCAAGGCAGACACACACGAACACAAGAGCAAGAAAAAGAAACGCUGCGCUACCAGGUGACGCUACCAGGUACCUCUGCUUCAUGCUUAUGCUUGUGGUAAAGGGAUUGUUUUGGUUUAAUUUGUUCUAUAAUUUCCUUUUUCUAAUAAAAAAAAUAUUAUAUUAAAAAAAAUAUGCUACCAGGUGACAUUCAUGUGUCUGAAACGGGGACACUUUUUUACCCGACGCUCCCGUACCAACAGGGGCCCAACUUUAGCUUUGGUGCUCAAGGCUCCCGCUCAUCCAUGCACCAAGGUGCCGAUGGUGCUCGAGGCUCCCGCACAUCCAAGCACCAAGGUGCCGAUGGUGAUCGAGACUCCCGCACGACCAAGGGCCUAGGUUGCCGACAGUGUCCAAGGCUCCUGCACAUCAUAGCACCGAGGUGCUGAUGGUCUCCGAGGCUCCCCACAACCAAGGGCCUAGUUUGCCGAUGGUGUCCGAUGCUCUCGCACAUCCAUGCACCAACGUGCCGAUGGUGCUCGAGGCUCCCGCACAUCCAAGCAUCAAGGUUAUCGAUGGUGUCUGAGGCUCCCACACAUCCGAGCCACCAAGGUGAUGGAGGCUCUUGUUGCAAAAGGGGAGGGACCGGGAGGAUUCAUCCCUUGUUGGCUAUCCGAAUUCUACCGUUGGAUUGGGGAGGGAGCGGGGACAACUCAUUCAUUGUUGGGUACCGAACAUAUAAUGAUAUUCGAAUUCUACCUUUGGUAUUAGGGAGGGACUCGAUUCAUCAUUUUCGUAUAUUCUGGGAUACCUCACCGGGAUGGAUUGUCGGAGCACCGCCGGGAACCUAACCGGUGGUAGGGGGCACAGACGCCCGGGCAUGCGAUGGGCGUGGGCAUUGCCCUGGAUAACCCCUGCUCGCUCAAUGUCUCUUCCCCCUAAAGAGCUAAAAAAACUUGGUCAAUGCGCCACCAGGAGACAUACUUUUUUUUUUGAAACAAAAACGACCACAAGGGUCAACAUAAUUUAUUACGAAACAUCACGAAUUACGGCAUUGUGGAUUUCCGGAGGAUAAUCCAUAUCGAACAAAUAUUUUUUCCCUCGCUAUAAAUUUUUUUACAAAGUAAAUAAGCUACAGUAUUACAUGACCGUUCGGUCCAAAUUAAAUUGGUCGAUUUAGAAAAGCUGAAGGCUGCUGUACAUUCCUUUAUCCGCUCGCCUAUCGUAGUGAUGUCAUGGGCUGACUUAUUGAAUUUAUUGACCAGCCCCACGUGAUCUGUUUCGAAAAGAACAUGUUCUUUAAAAUUCAAAUUAUGCGCCACGUUGAUGCUUUCUUCAAAUGCCAUGCACUCAGCCUCUUCCACCGACAUCCUACCCUCUUUAAAACCCCCACCACCUCCCAAGACAAAUCCCUCUUCAUCCUUUAUAAUCGUUCCAAAACCGAUUUUGUCUUCGCCUACUGUAGCAUCAAAGUUUAUUUUAAUGAAGCCCAUUGGAGGUUUUUUCCACUUUUUCUCCGCUGCGUUUUGUGACAGUAAUGGCUAGUUCGUCAUAUUACAAAUUCGAAACUCCUUGGUCAAGUUGCUAGCUCUUUCCCAUAUUUGCUUGGCCUCAUCUUCUUUACCCUUGAAAAUAAAAUUAUUCCAGUUAUUCCAGCAGUUCCAAAGGGUUGUCAACAAGUCGGCCAUCGCUCUCUUGUCAAGGACCCGCAUUAAGUCUUCCAACCAAUCCGCGCAGUGGUCAUAAUUCUUCGAAAUAAAGCUCCUGGACCACCCUCCGAUCGAUAGAACUGCUCUCGAGGUUGGGCAGUCUUUUAAAGCAUGCAACACGGUUUCGAUCUUUGCUCCGCAUCGAGGACACCCCUUUUCAAAACCCUGUCUAAUAGAGGCGAUCUUAGAAUUCGUGGGGAGUAUUUCAUGCCCCACCCUCCACGCGAAAACCCUAAUUUUCGGUAGAGUAUCGAGCUUCCAUAACGCUUUCCAAAGGAACCUGUGAGGUCCGUAUCCCAUAUCUUUCAGCAAUAGCAUGAAUAUGCGGAUUUUGAGGUAUAACACCCGUGAGGGUUAUGAUACCAUAUCAUUCUAUCUUCCUGGCUUUCCCUUCCAAUGGGAAUAUUGCAAAUCUUGUCCCCCCAGUUUUGUCCAUAUACUUUCCUGACUUUAUUAACCUCCCAACACCUCCGAUCCAUAUGCCAAAGGUUUUUCACACUCUUCUCAUCUCUUUUAAGAGUGUUCCUUAAGAUAACGUCCCCGUUGAGCCCUUCCAUUCCCCAAUUAUCAUCCCAAAUAUUUAUCCUCUCGCCAUUUCCAACCUGCCAUCCAAAGCCAUCUUUGAGCGUUUCCGCCACUAUCGCAAUACUUGUCCAAGUGAAUGAUGCUUUGUCCACCUUUUUUGCAUUAAAGAUGUUGCCGUCGAGAAAGUAUUUUGAAGACAAAACCUUGAAGCAGAGAGUAUCAGUAUUGUUUAUUAGUCUCCACACUUGACGCCCUAAAAGAGCCAGGUUGAAGAGUCGCACGUUUCUAAUUCCAAGACCUUCCAUAGCCUUCGGCUUACACAGUGUUUUCCAUGGGGUCAUUGUCUAGAAUCUCCAUCUAUCUUUUCCCGUCCACCAUGUUUUGUUGAACUUAGCCUGAAUAUCCUCAAUGAUGCUUUUGGGAGCCAAGAAAAUUGACAGAGCGUACGUAGGAAUGGAUUGGAGAACCGCUUAAAUGAAGACUUCUUUUCCCCCAGACGAUAGCAAUCUCUUUGUCCAGCUGUUAAUCCUGCAAGACAGUCUAUUAGUAAUCUCUUGGAAAGCAACAAUUUUUUUCUUACCAAUCGGGAUAGGGAGGCCUAGAUAGUUGUUUAAGCUUUCCACCACCGACAUGCCUAGGAUACCACCAAGGACUGUUCUCUGGUCACGUGAGGUGUUAGGGCUGAAUAGGACCAUUGACUUAUCAAAAUUAACAUCUUGUCCUGAAAUAUUAGAAAAAUUAUUAAGCUUGUUAACAAGGCUCUCCACAUCGCUCUUCUUGUUUCUCACAAACAACAGUGCAUCAUCAGCAAAAAAACAAGUGAUUUAUUCUGGGGCCGUUCCUGCUGGCCCUUAUGCCUCUUAAAGUGUUAUUCUCCUGAGCAUGGGUAAGCAUUCUCGACAGAGCUUUCAUGCAAAAUAAGAACAAAUAAGGAGAGAGAGGGUCCCCUUGUCGGAGCCCCCUCUCAGGGAUAAAAGUUUUCGAUAAGAUAUUGUUGCAUUUAACCGUAUAUUUAACCGAAUAAACACAUUCCAUUAUUUUGGCUAUCCACUUCCCAUCGAAUCCCAUUUUCUUCAUAAUUAUUUCCAAGAAGUUCCACUCUACGCGGUCAUAAGCUUUGCUCAUGUCGAGCUUGACCACGAGCCCUUUAUUAGGACCAUUUUUAGAGCUUUUAAGGUAAUGGAGAAGCUCAUGCGCAAUUAAGAUAUUGUCUUGUAUCAUCCUCCCCGGCACAAAUGCGCUUUGAUUUUGGCUAAUGCAGCUUGGUAGGACAGCUUUUAACCGAUUUGCAUACACCUUAGAGAUGAUCUUGUACACAAACCUGCACAAACUAAUAGGUCGAAAGUUAGUAAGCUCACAAGGAUCUCUAGUUUUAGCAAUUAAAAUGAUCAUAGUAUCGUUGAGGCAAGAGAUAUCCUUUUUCCCGUUUAAAAUAUCCAAGCAGUAUCUAAUAGUGUCCUUUCCCACUAUCUCCCAAUGGUGUUUGAAGAAAUUGCCCGAUAGACCAUCGAUGCCAGGGGCUUUAUUAGGGUCUAUCUGCUUGAUUGCUUGAGUAAUCUCUUCCUCUGUAUAGAUCAUAUUGAGCCUUUCAUUUGUUUCCCUCGUAACGCACUCCUUUAUAUGCCCCAUCUCUUGGAUGUUAGCAUUUUGACUGUUUGACUGGAACAAACUCACAAAGUAAUCUUUGGCCACCUUACAUAUUUCUUUACUAUUUGUCACCCAAUUUCCUUCCGCAUCUUUGAGCCUCUCAAUGUUAUUCUUCUUUAAACGACCAGUUGCUUUAGCAUGGAAAAACCUGGUAUUUCUAUCUCCCUCCCUCAGCCAUCUUGACCUAGACCUUUGGGCCCAGUAGCUUUCUUCCUUAGCGUAUAGAAAGUCGAGCCUUCUGCGAGUUUCCUUGAGAGUUUUCCCACUAUCCGCUUUGCUUGCAGAAUCAAUGACCACCUCGAUCUGUUUUUCCAAUUUCCGCAUUUCGUUCUUCAUUUUUCCAAAUUUUUUACAUUGCCAUGGACCGAGCGCCAAUCGAACCCUAUCCAUUUUAUCCCCGUAGUCUGUACCCUCACUGUUCCAAGCUCUUUCAAUAACAUUUUUAGCUUCCUUAUUCCCGAC
rnacentral:lncRNA from 1 species